UUUAGUCGAUUUAAUGAGGCAAACGCGGGCGCUUCUGCUCCUGUGAGGGUUUUCACUGUGCAGUUUCCCGGUUUGUCGCAGCCAACAGCAGGCUGCGCGGACAGAGAAGCUGCUGUGUUUGACUCAGGUGUUGUUCCUUGAAGCCACUGAUAAACUCCUCCAAGGUCACUGUGCCAUCUCUGUCGACGUCCAGGCGGUUGAAUAUCCCAUCGACUUCUUGGAAGGUUGAGCUGAGAUCCAGCUGCUGAAGUCUUCCACAUCCCAGAGCCAGAGACUGAUCUCCUGCAUCUGUGACUGCCUUACAGCCACUCACAUUCAGGCAAAAACACGGAGAACAUGCAUUCAUCCAGGAUGGUCAAGACAGCCAAGCCUAUAUCUAGAGCGUUUACACAGACAAGACACGCAUAGAGAAGAAAGAAAGGAAAUCUUUACCCCAG